rnacentral:rRNA from 1 species
GACGAACGCUGGCGGCGUGCUUAACACAUGCAAGUCGAACGGUGAAGCGCCUUCCUUUUUGGUUGGUGUGGAUGAGUGGCGAACGGGUGAGUAACACGUGAGUAACCUGCCCCCUUCUUCUGGAUAACCGCAUGAAAGUGUGGCUAAUACGGGAUAUUCUGGGUCUGUCGCAUGAUGGGUCUGGGAAAGAUAUUGUUUCGGUGGGGGAUGGGCUCGCGGCCUAUCAGCUUGUUGGUGGGGUGAUGGCCUACCAAGGCGGUGACGGGUAGCCGGCCUGAGAGGGUGGACGGUCACACUGGGACUGAGACACGGCCCAGACUCCUACGGGAGGCAGCAGUGGGGAAUAUUGCACAAUGGGCGCAAGCCUGAUGCAGCGACGCCGCGUGAGGGAUGGAGGCCUUCGGGUUGUGAACCUCUUUCGCCAGUGAAGCAGGCCUGCCUAGUUUGUGGGUGGGUUGACGGUAGCUGGAUAAGAAGCGCCGGCUAACUACGUG